rnacentral:rRNA from 1 species
UGGCGGACGGGUGAGUAAUGUCUGGUAAACUGCCCGAUGGAGGGGGAUAACUACUGGAAACGGUAGCUAAUACCGCAUAACGUCGCAAGACCAAAGAGGGGGACCUUCGGGCCUCUUGCCAUCGGAUGUGCCCAGAUGGGAUUAGCUAGUAGGUGGGGUAACGGCUCACCUAGGCGACGAUCCCUAGCUGGUCUGAGAGGAUGACCAGCCACACUGGAACUGAGACACGGUCCAG